rnacentral:rRNA from 1 species
CCAANUGUAGCGGUGAAAUGCGUAGAGAUUUGGAGGAACACCAGUGGCGAAGGCGACUUUCUGGUCUGUAACUGACGCUGAGGCGCGAAAGCGUGGGGAGCAAACAGGAUUAGAUACCCUGGUAGUCCACGCUGUAAACGAUGAGUGCUAAGUGUUAGAGGGUUUCCGCCCUUUAGUGCUGAAGUUAACGCAUUAAGCACUCCGCCUGGGGAGUACGGUCGCAAGACUGAAACUCAAAGGAAUUGACGGGGGCCCGCACAAGUGGUGGAGCAUGUGGUUUAAUUCGAAGCAACGCGAAGAACCUUACCAGGUCUUGACAUCCUCUGACACUCCUAGAGAUAGGACGUUCCCCUUCGGGGGACAGAGUGACAGGUGGUGCAUGGUUGUCGUCAGCUCGUGUCGUGAGAUGUUGGGUUAAGUCCCGCAACGAGCGCAACCCUUGAUCUUAGUUGCCAGCAUUCAGUUGGGCACUCUAAGGUGACUGCCGGUGACAAACCGGAGGAAGGUGGGGAUGACGUCAAAUCAUCAUGCCCCUUAUGACCUGGGCUACACACGUGCUACAAUGGAUGGUACAAAGGGCUGCAAGACCGCGAGGUUUAGCCAAUCCCAUAAAACCAUUCUCAGUUCGGAUUGUAGGCUGCAACUCGCCUACAUGAAGCCGGAAUCGCUAGUAAUCGCGGAUCAGCACGCCGCGGUGAAUACGUUCCCGGGCCUUGUACACACCGCCCGUCACACCACGAGAGUUUGUAACACCCGAAGUCGGUGGGGUAACCGUAAGGAGCCAGCCGCCUAAGGUGGGACAGAUGAUUGGGGUGAAGUCGUAACAAGGUAACCA